rnacentral:rRNA from 1 species
CGCCUUUUGUCCAUUAUAAAAGGUAACGCCUGCCCAGUGACAUAGUUCAACGGCCGCGGUAUUUUAACCGUGCGAAGGUAGCAUAAUCACUUGUUUUUUAAAUAAAGACUAGUAUGAAUGGCAUCACGAGAACUAAGCUGUCUCCCCCCUCUAAUCAGUGAAACUGAUCUCCCCGUGCAGAAGCGGGGAUAUACCCAUAAGACGAGAAGACCCUGUGGAGCUUAAAAUUAAAAAUCAACUGCGGACGAACCUAAACAUUACCACGCAAAUAUGAUUUAAAUUUUUAGCUGGGGCGCCUGCGGAGUAAAAAUCACCCUCCGCGAAGAAACACACCAAGAACCACCAUUCUAAGUAUUAAUAAAUUUAACUUAAUUGACCCAAUUUUUGAUCAACGGACCAAGUUACCCCAGGGAUAACAGCGCAAUCCACUUUUAGAGUCCCUAUCGACAAGUGGGCUUACGACCUCGAUGUUGGAUCAGGGCAUCCUAGUGGUGCAGCCAUUACUAAAGGUUCGUUUGUUCAACGAUUAAAGCCCU